AUCAACUUGUGAAUGAUUUGGAAUCAUUUUCUAUAUGUACAAGAGAUUCAAGUAGUUAAUGAGAUGGUAAACAUAUGCUGGUUAUGGACGUCUGUCAACAUUAAAUGAGUUCUUGAAACCUACCCAAGGAGAAAGGUACUAUAGCCCAGGUAGUCGUGGCAGCCUCAUUCUGGGAGAAUAUUUAACAUAAACUUCCCAAAAAGAUCGGAUGAUUCAGCUUGGUGCAAAUAUAGUUCAACUCAAGCAAUGGUAUAAAAAAUUCAAUAUCCUCUCAAUAAAUCCUGCAGAAAAGUACACAACAUGCAUAAUUAUGUAUUAAACUAUGGUUCAUAUAUGAUGUGUACCACUUUAUUUGGGAAACUUGUAUCAAACACAGUUGGCAUUAGGCAUGUAUUGUACUUUAUUUUGUAAACUUGUAUCAAACUUUGUUUUUGUUUCUAUGUAUUAAAUUAUUUAUUAAUCAAA